rnacentral:rRNA from 1 species
CCUACGGGUGGCAGCAGUGAGGAAUAUUGGUCAAUGGCCGAGAGGCUGAACCAGCCAAGUCGCGUGAGGGAAGACGGCCCUACGGGUUGUAAACCUCUUUUGUCGGGGAGCAAAGCGAGUCACGUGUGACUCAUUGAGAGUACCCGAAGAAAAAGCAUCGGCUAACUCCGUGCCAGCAGCCGCGGUAAUACGGAGGAUGCGAGCGUUAUCCGGAUUUAUUGGGUUUAAAGGGUGCGUAGGCGGACUGGAAAGUCAGCGGUAAAAUCGAGAGGCUCAACCUCUUUCCGCCGUUGAAACUGUCGGUCUUGAGUGGGCGAGAAGUAUGCGGAAUGCGUGGUGUAGCGGUGAAAUGCAUAGAUAUCACGCAGAACUCCGAUUGCGAAGGCAGCAUACCGGCGCCCGACUGACGCUGAGGCACGAAAGCGUGGGUAUCGAACAGGAUUAGAUACCCUAGUAGUC